rnacentral:rRNA from 1 species
UUCUAGCUCAGAGCGAACGCUGGCGGCGUGCUUAACACAUGCAAGUCGAACGGCUCUCGGGUAGCAAUACUCGAGGGUAGUGGCGAACGGGUGAGGUAACACGUGGGUAAUCUUCCCCCGAGUGAGGAAUAAGCUUGCGAAAGCGGGUCUAAUACCGCAUGACGCUUCGGGACUCAAGUCUUCGGAGCCAAAGCCGUAAGGCGCUUGGGGAUGAGCCUGCGUCCUAUUAGCUAGUUGGUAGGGUAAUGGCCUACCAAGGCGAUGAUGGGUAGCCGGCCUGAGAGGGUGAUCGGCCACACUGGAACUGAGACACGGUCCAGACUCCUACGGGAGGCAGCAGUGAGGAAUUUUGCGCAAUGGGCGAAAGCCUGACGCAGCGAACCGCCGCGUGGAGGAAGACGGCCUUCGGGUUGUAAACUCCUGUCAGAGGUGAAGAAUGCCCGCAAGGGUUUGACGGUAACCUCAGAGGAAGCCCCGGCUAACUACGUGCCAGCAGCAGC